GCGCCGGUCGUCUAGCCUGGACUAGGACCCCGGCCCUCCGCGCCGGUGAUCGCGGGUUCGAAUCCCGCCCGGCGCACCA
rnacentral:tRNA from 1 species